AGGAAAUGAUCACAUGCUAAGUUCGCUACAUCGUGUAGCGACAACGCAUGUGUGAUAUGCAUCCUGCAUA
rnacentral:sRNA from 18 species